GUCUACAGCCAUACCACCCUGAAUGCUCCCGAUCUCAUCUGAUCUCAGAAGCUAAGCAGUCAGGUCUGUUAGUACUUAGAAGGGAGAAGUCAAUCUGAUACAAAAAAUCAUAGACU
ensembl:rRNA 5S_rRNA 5S ribosomal RNA